CCUACGGGCGACAGCAGUCGAGAAUCAUUCACAAUGGGGGAAACCCUGAUGGUGCGACGCCGCGUGGGGGAAUGAAGGUCUUCGGAUUGUAAACCCCUGUCAUGUGGGAGCAAAUUAAAAAGAUAGUACCACAAGAGGAAGAGACGGCUAACUCUGUCCCAGCAGCCGCGGUAAUACAGAGGUCUCAAGCGUUGUUCGGAAUCACUGGGCGUAAAGCGUGCGUAGGCUGUUUCGUAAGUCGUGUGUGAAAGGCGCGGGCUCAACCCGCGGACGGCACAUGAUACUGCGAGACUAGAGUAAUGGAGGGGGAACCGGAAUUCUCGGUGUAGCAGUGAAAUGCGUAGAUAUCGAGAGGAACACUCGUGGCGAAGGCGGGUUACUGGACAUUAACUGACGCUGAGGCACGAAGGCCAGGGGAGCGAAAGGGAUUAGAUACCCCGGUAGUC
rnacentral:rRNA from 1 species